GAAUUUAAAUACUUAGAUUCAAUGCUAAAGGUAUGGUUUUAUAAAUAUAUAUAACUUUAUAAAUAUUAAUUAGUCUUUAAAAUUAGAUUGUCGUUAAUUUAGAGAAUUGUUAAGCCAUCCCGAAUGGCUACAGUAUUCCAUAUAUAGAUGUCCCAAUAGAGUGCCAGCAGGCGUGGUUAGACUGAGCAUCUACUUUAGUUCAACUCAAUUUAACUCUAGUAAUUAUACGGCUAUUAACUGGUAAAAUAGGAAGUUAGUCGGCUACUGCUAGUCAAUUUCAGUCACACAAAAGACAAGGAUUAGAUACCCUUUUAUGCGUGAUGAUACUCAACUGAUAAUUUAGUUUAAAAUUUAAACAAUUUGGCGGUAGAGAAAGAACUCAGAGAAACCUGUGUAUUAAUUGGAUGAUCCACCAUUAUUAUUCCUUAGUAUGUAAGUUACCUGUAUGUCUGUUUAGAUUAUUGUUAGAUCUUUAAUCUCCCCUUCAUAUGAAUUUAAUUCAGGUCUAUAUAGGGAUUGUUACUAAGUUGGCAUGGGUUGCACUAUAGCUAUUUAGUAGCCUAGUUAAAAUAGGCUUAAUUUGGAUUUGAAAGUAAAUGUUUGUGUAAGCACAUUGAAUCUUUAUCUCUCUAAGUACAAAUCGCCCGUCACCUCUGUUACAAAAAAGACUGAGUAAGUCGAAACAAAGUAGGUUGGCUGGAAGGGUAACCUGUAUG
rnacentral:ncRNA from 1 species